GAUGAACGCUCGCGGCAGGCCUAACACAUGCAAGUCGAGGGAGAGGUUACCUUCGGGUCCCCAAAACCGGCGCACGGGUGCGUAACGCGUAUACAAUCUGCCUUUCACAUAGGGAUAGCCCGAAGAAAUUUGGAUUAAUACCUAAUGGUAUAUAAGAGCGGCAUCGUUUUUAUAUUAAAGCUACGGUGGUGAAAGAUGAGUAUGCGUUCUAUUAGCUAGUUGGAGAGGUAACGGCUCCCCAAGGCGACGAUAGAUAGGGGUUCUGAGAGGGAUGUCCCCCACACUGGUACUGAGAUACGGACCAGACUCCUACGGGAGGCAGCAGUGAGGAAUAUUGGACAAUGGUCGGAAGACUGAUCCAGCCAUGCCGCGUGCAGGAUGAAGGUCCUAUGGAUUGUAAACUGCUUUUGUAAGGGAAGAAUAAGGAGUACGUGUACUUUGAUGACGGUACCUUACGAAUAAGCAUCGGCUAACUCCGUG
rnacentral:rRNA from 1 species